AUACUACUCCCUCCGUUCCGAAUUACUCGUCAGAGAAAUGGAUGUAUCUAGAUGUAUUUUAGUUCUAGAUAUAUCCAUUUCUACGACGAGUAAUUUAGAACGGAGGAAAUACUAG
rfam:Triticum urartu cultivar G1812 contig446377, whole genome shotgun sequence.